UUGUGCCACCCAGUUGGAGUCAGCUUUGUGAUUUGUAAUCAGCUUCAGCCAGAGCGUUACCAGUGCUGUUGCUGCUUGUGUUCCUGUGCAAGGCCUGCUGUGCCAUCCCCCAGGCAGUGCCCUGCAGAUGGGCUGUGGAGGGCUGGGCUGGGACAGGGACUGCUGCGUUCCCUCACAGCUCCCCUGCCAUUUCUCUUGUCCCUGCAGGCUCCAGUUCAACUCUGCCUUCCAGCCAUGAUCAGCUCAGCUGCAGGGGAGCAGCAGAUGGCCACAGCACAUGCAUCUCAGGAGCCCGUGAGCUUUGCGGAGGUGGCCGUGUCUUUCAGCAGGGAGGAGUGGGCGCUGCUGGACCCUGCGCAGCGAGCGCUGUACCGGGACGUGAUGCUGGAGACGUACCAGUGCGUGGCCUCGCUGGCUCCACUUCCAGCCUCCAAACCCAUGGUGAUCUCCCUGCUUGAAGGAGGGGAAGAGCCCUGGAUCCCAGAUGUGCGUAGCCCUGAGGCCGUGCCAGGAGACUUCAGCCCAGCAGGAACUGGGAUUGCAGAUAUACUGGAGGACCUGCAGGAAAGUGGUGUGGCCGAAAGGCGGUGGGGUGGUGUCUGUGUGGAAGAAAUCAGAAGUGAUGUCCAAGGAGUCCUGG